rfam:Fukomys damarensis contig99105, whole genome shotgun sequence.
AGAUGUGAGGGUAAUUUUGCUAUGACAUCUGUUAAAUCAUUGAUCAGCAGGGUUGACUUGGCUGAUCUGGCUGGCUAGGCUGGUGUCCCCUUUCCUCCCUCACCUCUUCAUGUGUGUCCUUCCCAAAGCUGCAAGCUCUGUCAGAGGAUGACCAGGGAGAAAAAGACCAUUUCCUUGGUCAAGGGUAUAUGAGUAGCUUCGCUCCCCUGCUCCAAUCCCCAAAUAUGCUCUCAAGAUGCAAUCAGUCAGGCUAUCUCUGUGCCUCCCUUUCCUUUUCUGUUUAUCACUUCCUAUUUCUG